AGUUUUCCAUUAGUCUUUUAUCCAAACAAGUCUCUCAUUCUCCAUUUCAAUCCAAGUUCAUAAUCUCUUAUUUCCACUCACCUCUCUCACUCGCCCGUGCUUAGCACACAACACUUCUUCGGUUUUCCAUUGCCACCCACACUGCCGUCGAAUCCUGCAACAACCACCUACACCUACACCGCUGAAUCACACCAUUCCACCACCUGCUUCCUCUCGAGAGUUAAAAGGUUGUGUGGUAUAACAAUGUUUCACCACCAUCUCUUCUCUCUACAUGAUUCUAGUGGUAUUUGGAUUUUGGAAGAGUAAGAGAAAGGGUGGGAGGCGGAAGAAACAUAAGAGAGAGGAGAGAUCGCUUAGGGCCAACUAUGAUUCCUCAUUCCACCACAAGUGCCCUUUCAAGCAAUUGACGUGGAGCAUAAUGAUAGUAUUCUAGCUUUGGGAUGCAAUCGAUAAGGCUGAUAUAUUCUCUUUCUUCCCAAAUUUUCAUUUUUUUUCUUUCAUUUUAUCUCUUUUGGUUACUUGCUACUAUUUUUGUUGUUUGCUUUGUUUACUACUUGAUACUUUUAUGCUUUAUUAGUUUUAUUCGAUUCAA